GCGGGUGUGGCGGAAUUGGCAGACGCGCAGGCUUCAGGUGCCUGUGGAGGCAACUUCGUGGGAGUUCAAAUCUCCCCACCCGCACCA
rnacentral:tRNA from 1 species